rnacentral:lncRNA from 1 species
CUGUGGAAUUUGACCCUUGAGCAGAAGGCUGAAGCUGCAGAACAACUGAAGCUCAUUCAUUCCAAGGAGAAUGUGAAUCGGACAUAUCCAGAAUGGCUCUCAUUGCUGCCCUUCCCUUUGUGACGUGGGCACUGCCAUGUCAUUCCUCUUCUGUGCAUUCAUCAAAUACUUGCUCAUUAAAAGGACACCACUUGAGAACCAAAUAUCACAUCAUUUGCUUCAGGUAGGUAGCAAUCAAGCGUUCUAAUUUAGUUUUUCUAACUUUUCACAGCAAAUUCC